rnacentral:rRNA from 1 species
AGCUAAUAGAUACCCCGGUAGUCCACGCCCUAAACGAUGUCUACUAGUUGUUGGUGGAGUAAAAUCCAUGAGUAAACGCAGCUAAACGCGUGAAGUAGACCGCCUGGGGAGUACGGUCGCAAGAUUAAAAACUCAAAGGAAUUGACGGGGGCCCGCACAAGCGGUGGAUUAUGUGGAUUAAAUUCGAUGCAACGCGAAAAACCUUACCUGGCCUUGACAUGCCACUAACGAAGCAGAGAUGCAUUAGGUGCCCGUAAGGGAAAGUGGACACAGGUGCUGCAUGGCUGUCGUCAGCUCGUGUCGUGAGAUGUUGGGUUAAGUCCCGCAACGAGCGCAACCCUUGCCAUUAAUUGCCAUCAUUUAGUUGGGUCACUUUAAUGGGACUGCCGGUGACAAACCGGAGGAAGGUGGGGAUGACGUCAAGUCCUCAU